CCUGUCUGCCCUGGCUGCCUCAAAGCUUCCUUCGGUCUUUCUUUGGCUCCUUCACUUUGUGCUUCCCAGUAUUACAGGGCAAUCUUUUGUGUGCAUGUUUUCCCCUUUUGCUCCCCAGAGAGGCUUGUCAAAACUCCUUAUCUGCUGAUGAAUGAAAGGAAUUUCUCCUGUGCGGGCGGGACCUGGUUAAUGCAGCUCUGGCCAGCACGGGUAGGUCACUGAGUUAAGGAAGCUCCAAAAGGCAAAGUGCACUGAGAAUAUCAGAGUUGCUGUCGUGCCAGGAAGUGCCAUCAGCAGGCAUUUUCCUCCAAGCAGAGGGACGGACAAGAAGGAGAGGUCUCCCUGAAGCCCUGAAACUGGCCCAGUUCCUUUGGUUGCCAUCGUCUGGGAUGUCACAGACAUCUGGGCUUGCAUCUUUCUGCGUGACUACCCUAAUCCAGUUUCCAUUUAGCAGCUUCUUGUGCUUUUGCCGUGUCCUCCCAACCAGUCUCUUCAGACAUGUAAGCAGGGCUCGGCAGGGACAGCUCAUGUCUGCUCCCCUUGCUGUGGCAGGACAUCUCCAAGGCUGGAAGCUGGAAUCUUCUGAAGACUUACUUACUCACUCACUUACUCUCUAGUGAAUGCUGCUGGCUAAUUGGCUGAGUCCUUAGCUUGGGUUGUCAGUCGAAAGACUUCCUCACAGCAUGGUAGCUGUAUUAAGUUUUCUGUCACUGCUUCAACAAAUUAAAACAAAC